GACGUAGGGGGCGAGCGUUGUCCGGAUUUAUUGGGCGUAAAGCGUGCGUAGGCGGCUGCGCAAGUCGGGUGUGAAACCCCGGGGCUCAACCCCGGAACUGCAUCCGAUACUGCGUGGCUAGAGGUAGGUAGGGGAGAUCGGAAUUCCUGGUGUAGCGGUGAAAUGCGCAGAUAUCAGGAGGAACACCGGUGGCGAAGGCAGAUCUCUGGGCCGUAACUGACGCUGAGGAGCGAAAGCAUGGGGAGCGAACAGG
rnacentral:rRNA from 1 species